GAAAGAUGCUAAACUAUUUUUGCGAUGUGUUCCUAAUAUGUAAUAUAAAUGUAUUGGGAACAUUUUGCAUUCGUAGUUUUGUAUCAAUAAU
rnacentral:pre_miRNA from 10 species